CAAAGUAAAGGUGAAGGGAAACUGUAUAAUUUUGAAGGAGACCCAACUGCAUGUGUGACUAGGACGAAGGUGUCCCCGUCCUCCCUUACCACUCCAUGUGCAUUCCUUCUGAAGCGGUGCACUUGGUCAAAGAGGAUGACCUUCCCCGACAGAGAAGUACCGUUCAUUGGUCGAGGGUAUAUGGUAGCUGUGCUCCCCUGCUAGAAUCUCCAAACCUUGCAUAUUCAGUAUCAGCUCUGUUGUAUCCAGGAAUCCAGUCACUUUUCAGACAGCUCACACUGAAGGAGAGCACGUUGGAUAGUCAAGAUAUAU
rnacentral:snRNA from 1 species